UCCACAUCUUUUAUCUUCUUUGGCUGCCCCAAAAGUCUUCUCAUUUAUCUUAUCUCCUUGGCUGCACCAGACCAGAAAGUCCAGCCCUUUUUCUUUCUCUAUUCCUCUUUCUUUGUUCUUCUUUCUCUCUUCUUCCUUUGCUCUUACACGGCAGCCCUCUCUCUCUCACCAAAACAAUAUAUCUCUCUCUAAAGAAGAAAUUAAAAGGUUAAUACUAAAAUUUCAGCUUCAAAGUUUAUGAGUGGCGAGAACGAGAAUACGGACACUUGAGCUCCUCUUGUACAAUCUCUCGCUUGUUCUGUUUUCAGUGCACAAGUUCUUCCUGGAAGCAGCGAGAGUGUUAGAAGUGGCAAGGAUUCUGUGUUUUCUCGUUUGUUAGAAUGUAGAGUUUUGUUGUAUAGUAGUUAGCUCUUUUGUUGUAUAGAAGGAAUCAAGAUGUACUUGAUCCUUUGAGCACAGAUAUAAUUCGGUACUUUAUUUUGUUUUGAACCCCAAUUGUAUAUCUUUAGGGUUAGGCUUGUAAUAAGAGUUUUGCAAAACAUUUAGCUAUGUAAUAUUUACCCGAAUACCUUAAGUUUCAGCCAGGUGGUAAUUUUCCAAGUUCAAAGGAAAUGAAAUUUCAAGGUUUCCAUCA